CCUACGGGUGGCAGCAGUAGGGAAUCUUCCACAAUGGGCGCAAGCCUGAUGGAGCAACACCGCGUGAGUGAAGAAGGGUUUCGGCUCGUAAAGCUCUGUUGUUGGAGAAGAACGUGCGGGAGAGUAACUGUUCACGCAGUGACGGUAUCCAACAAGAAAGUCAAGGCUAACUACGUGCCAGCAGCCGCGGUAAUACGUAGGUGGCCAGCAUUAUCCGGAUUUAUUGGGUGUAAAGGGAGCGGAGACGGUUGCUUAGGUCUGAUGUGAAAGCCUUCGGCUUAACCGUAAAAGUGCAUUGGAUACUGGCAGACUUGAGUACAGAUGAGGACAGUGGAAUUCGAGGUGUAGCGGUGGAAUGCGUAGAUAUCACGAAGAACUCCGAUUGCGAAGGCAGCUGUCUAGUCUGCCACUGACGCUGAUGCUCGAAAGCAUGGGUAGCGAACAGGAUUAGAUACCCUAGUAGUC
rnacentral:rRNA from 1 species